GACGAACGCUGGCGGCGUGCCUAACACAUGCAAGUCGAACGGCAAGGCCCUGCUUUUGUGGGGUGACCGAGUGGCGAACGGGUGCGUAACACGUGAGUAACCUGCCCUUGAUUUUCGGAUAACUUAAGGAAACUGGGGCUACUACCAGAUAGGAGCCCCCGCUGCGUGGUGGGCGUUGGAUCGUCUCGGCGGGUGGGGAUGGACGCGCGGCUUAUCAGCUUGUUGGUUGGGUAGUGGAUUACCCAGGCUUUGACUGGUAACCCGCCUGUGAGGGUGACCGGCCACAAUAGGACUGAGAGAGGCCCCAGACUCCAACGGGAGACAGCGGUGGGGAGCAUUGCACAGUGAUCGGGAGCCUGUGGCGGCGACGCUGCGUGCGGGAAGACGGUCUGCUGGGUGUGAACCGCUUUCGCCUGUGACGAAGCGUGAGUGACGGUAAUGAAUAAAUAAGCACCGGCUAACUACGUG
rnacentral:rRNA from 1 species